rnacentral:rRNA from 1 species
GAUGAACGCUGGCGGCGUGCCUAACACAUGCAAGUCGAGCGAUUUACUUCGGUAAAGAGCGGCGGACGGGUGAGUAACGCGUGGGUAACCUGCCCUGUACACACGGAUAACAUACCGAAAGGUAUGCUAAUACGAGAUAAUAUACUUUUAUCGCAUGGUAGAAGUAUCAAAGCUCCGGCGGUACAGGAUGGACCCGCGUCUGAUUAGCUAGUUGGUAAGGUAACGGCUUACCAAGGCGACGAUCAGUAGCCGACCUGAGAGGGUGAUCGGCCACAUUGGAACUGAGACACGGUCCAAACUCCUACGGGAGGCAGCAGUGGGGAAUAUUGCACAAUGGGCGAAAGCCUGAUGCAGCAACGCCGCGUGAGCGAUGAAGGCCUUCGGGUCGUAAAGCUCUGUCCUCAAGGAAGAUAAUGACGGUACUUGAGGAGGAAGCCCCGGCUAACCACGUGCCAGCCGCCGCGGUAAUAC